UGUGUAGGCGGAAAUGUAAGCGUCUUGUGAAAUCCCCCGGCUUAACCGGGGAAUUGCGUGACGAACUACAUUUCUUGAGGCAAAUAGGGGUGCAUGGAACUCUUGGUGGAGCGGUGGAAUGCGUAGAUAUCAAGAGGAACGCCAGUGGUGAAGACGGUGCACUAGAUUUGCUCUGACGCUGAGACACGAAAGCGUGGGUAGCGAACAGGAUUAGAUACCCUGGUAGUCC
rnacentral:rRNA from 1 species